rnacentral:rRNA from 1 species
GGAGCGAACGCUGGCGGCAGGCCUAAUACAUGCAAGUCGAACGGAUCCUUCGGGAUUAGUGGCGGACGGGUGAGUAACACGUGGGAACAUACCCUUCGGUACGGAACAACUCGGGGAAACGCGAGCUAAUACCGUAUACGCCUUGGCGGGGAAAGAUUGUAUCGCCGAAGGAUUGGCCCGCGUCCGAUUAGCUAGUUGGUGAGGUAAUGGCUCACCAAGGCGACGAUCGGUAGCU